rnacentral:rRNA from 1 species
GCUCUCCUACGGGGGGCAGCAGUGGGGAAUAUUGCACAAUGGGGGAAACCCUGAUGCAGCAACGCCGCGUGAGUGAAGAAGUAUUUCGGUAUGUAAAGCUCUAUCAGCAGGGAAGAAGAAAGACGGUACCUGACUAAGAAGCCCCGGCUAACUACGUGCCAGCAGCCGCGGUAAUACGUAGGGGCAAGCGUUAUCCGGAUUUACUGGGUGUAAAGGGAGCGCAGGCGGCACGGCAAGCCUGAUGUGAAAGCCCGCGGCCCAACCGCGGGACUGCAUUGGGAACUACCGGGCUGGAGUGCCGGUGG